rnacentral:tRNA from 1 species
GAGGGUAUAGCUCCAUGGUAAAGCAUGUGUUUAGAAUGCAUGAGGUCCUGGGUUCAAUCCCCAGUACCUUUG